UGGCGCCUUAGUGCGCCUUGAGCUUUUAAUAACUAUGCUAGAUAACCUCUCAGAUACUUUCUAUUGUUGAUAAUAUAAACUGUUAUGAAAAGUUUCAGUCUCAUAGAUUUCUUUCCAACCCAAACAAACAUUUCUUUUCAACAAAACAAACAUUUCUUUUCAACAAAGCAUUAUCAUCAACAAGCAGAAUCUUCAAAGUCAAGUUCUUUGUAACCAAGGGAGAAUAAGCAAGGACUUCUAGCCAAGGAUCAUUACAAGAUGAUUUUUACUUUGUUUAAGACUUGUUCUUCAACUGUUAAUUUCUCAUCAAUAUUCAGAUUUCAAGAGGUUCUUUCCUAUAUAGAAACUAAUCUAGCCUCAAUAAAGCACCCUAGUUGAACUAUGGAAAUCAGCCUAUUGAUGAAUCAAGUCUGUUAUAUUCUGGCAAAGUUGGUCAGUUUUUUC
rnacentral:misc_RNA from 1 species